UUGGCGUCUUUAUUAGGUAGCUAUAGGUUUAGAAAACAUCAUAACUAACUAGAAUGAGGAAUUACAGAAGUGGACUUAGUUUAAUAUUAAUAAGUUUGUUUUUCUUACCUUUUGUAUAAUGGUUAAACUAGUAUAAAAUUAGAUAGUUAUUCCCGAAUUAAGAAGAGCUAAUUACUAACUUUUAUUAGAAUAUAACAAUUAUGUGGAAAUAUGGUUUUAAGAUUGGUAAUUAGGAGCGAAAUACUUUCAAUUCUUAGGGUAUCUGGAAACUCCUGAAAAGCAUUUAGUGCUGAAAAUUUAACCAUGAAGUGUUUAGAUUUUAUGGGUGGUAGGAUUAGGGGGGUAUAUUGUGUGUUUCUAGGGUUAAACUCCGAGUUCAUUUUUAGCUAUAAUAAAUUAAUUUCCCGAUCUGUCUAUAACAGUAGGGAGUCUUCUUAGAUAAUUUUUUCUUAGUGUGAUAAUGUUUAAAUUAGUAAUAAAUAUUUAUUAGAUCAGCGGUGUUUAUCGGAAACAGAAUAGAUAUAUGUUGGUAGAAAAUAACUUGAAGGAAUUCGGCAAAAAUAGACUUGGACUGUUUAACAAAAACAUAGCUACAAGCUUAUAUUUGUGGUUAAACCUGCCCAAUGUAAAAAAAAUGAAUGGCCGCGGUACUCUGACCGUGCUAAGGUAGCGUAAUCAGUUGGCUUUUAAAUGGAGUCGGGAAUGAAUGGAUUAACCGGGUCUAGCUGUCUCUGGGUUAUUAUUUUGAAUUUACUGUCUAAGUGAAAAAGCUUAGAGCUAGAAAAGGGACGAGAAGACCCUUAGAAUUUUCUUCUAAAAAUGGUGUGUUCUUAUUAGAAUUUGCUUUUAAUGAUUUUAUUGGGGCGAUAGAGAAAUAUUUUACAACUUUCUUAUAUUUACAUGCCGACUAUAUUAAGACAGGAUAAAUUACCUGAGGGAUAACAGCAUAAUUCUAAAAGUGAGUUUGUGACCUCGAUGUUGGACUAGGAAACUAGCAAGCUAGGCGUUUGUUGUGUGGGUUCUGUUCGAACUUUAAAUCCUACAUGAUCUGAGUUCAGACCGGCGUAAGCCAGGUCAGAUUCUAUCUUUUUAUGUUAUGGCUUUAGUACGAAAGGACCGGGUUGUAUUAUAGAUAUAAAUUUAAUUGGCUUGGCAGAAGAAAGUGCGC
rnacentral:rRNA from 1 species